GAUGAACGCUGGCGGCGUGCUUAACACAUGCAAGUCGAACGAUGAAGCCCAGCUUGCUGGGUGGAUUAGUGGCGAACGGGUGAGUAACACGUGAGUAACCUGCCCUUAACUCUGGGAUAAGCCUGGGAAACUGGGUCUAAUACCGGAUAGGAGCGUCCACCGCAUGGUGGGUGUUGGAAAGAUUUAUCGGUUUUGGAUGGACUCGCGGCCUAUCAGCUUGUUGGUGAGGUAAUGGCUCACCAAGGCGACGACGGGUAGCCGGCCUGAGAGGGUGACCGGCCACACUGGGACUGAGACACGGCCCAGACUCCUACGGGAGGCAGCAGUGGGGAAUAUUGCACAAUGGGCGCAAGCCUGAUGCAGCGACGCCGCGUGAGGGAUGACGGCCUUCGGGUUGUAAACCUCUUUCAGUAGGGAAGAAGCGAAAGUGACGGUACCUGCAAAAGAAGCACCGGCUAACUACGUG
rnacentral:rRNA from 1 species